rnacentral:rRNA from 1 species
GACGAACGCUGGCGGCGUGCUUAACACAUGCAAGUCGAACGGAAAGGCCCUGCUUUCGUGGGGUGCUCGAGUGGCGAACGGGUGAGUAACACGUGAGUAACCUGCCCUUGACUUUGGGAUAACUUCAGGAAACUGGGGCUAAUACCGGAUAGGAUCUCCUGCUGCAUGGUGGGGGUUGGAAAGUUUCGGCGGUUGGGGAUGGACUCGCGGCUUAUCAGCUUGUUGGUGGGGUAGUGGCUGACCAAGGCUUUGACGGGUAGCCGGCCUGAGAGGGGGACCGGCCACAAUAGGACUGAGGUACGGCCCAGACUCCUACGGGAGGCAGCAGGGGGGAAUAUUGCACAGUGGGGGGAAGCGUGAUGCAGCAACGCCGCGUGCGGGAUAACGGCCUUCGGGUUGUAAACCGCUUUCGCAUGUGACGAAGCGUGAGUGACGGUAAUGGGUAAAGAAGCACCGGCUAACUACGUG